rnacentral:lncRNA from 1 species
UGGAGUCUCGCUCUGUCGCCCAGGCUGGAGUGCAGUAGUGCGAUCUCGGUUCACUGCAACCUCUGCCUCCCAGGUGCAAGCGAUUCUCCCGCCUCAGCCUCCCCAGCAGCUGGGACUAUAGGUGCAUGCCACCACACCCAGCUAAUUUUUUGUAUUUUUAGUAGAGAUGGGGUUUCACUGUGUUAGCCAGGAUGGUAUUGAUCUCUUGACCUAGUGAUCCGCCCGCUUCGGCCUCCAAAGUGCUGGGAUUACAGGCAUGAGCCACCGUGCCCAGCCUAAUUUUUGUAUUUUUAGUAGGUUUCACCAUGUUGGCCAGGCUGGUCUCGAACUCCUAACCUCAGCUGAUCUGCCUGCCUUGGCCUCCGAAAGUAUUUGGAUUACAGGCAUGAGUCACCGCAUCUGGCGGUAUUUUUGUUGAAAGCACAGUGUAUAAUAGGUUAUGGCCAGCCUACACGUGGCCUUGUAGGUGUCAGUUCUUGGCAGGGCCCAGUGAAUUCCAGGCAGGGGGCCAUCCUGACAUGCCUGCCACGUUAAGAUUUCAGACAUUAUCCCCUCCAGCAAGGGAGGAUCAGGGCUGUUGGCAUAACAAGCAUUCUGAGGGUUAGCUUGCAUACCAGUCUCUUCCCAAAUGCUGAGUUGCCCCAUGUAUCCUGUGACAUUUGAGAAUAGGCUUUCCUCAACUUGGCACAAUUUGCCUUUGGACCAAGUGCUUUGUCCUGUGCAUUCCUUGCUGGAUGUUGGCAUGCAUUCCUAGUGUCGUCCACUAGAUGGCAGUGGCACCCACCCCAGAGCUCAAAUAUUACUAUGUUCCGAUGCAGCCAGGGCUUGGCAGGGCUGGGUGGCCUCUGAGGGCCCCUACUGGCCAUUUUUCACCGUCUCCCUCUGUUGCCCAGGCUGGGGCGCAGUGAUGCAAUGACAGCUCACUGCAGCCUCGACCUCCUGGGCUCAAGCGAUCUUCCCACCUCAGUCCCCAGAGUAGCUGGGACUACAGGCAUGUGCUGCUACUCCUGGGUAAUUAAUUGUACUAAUUAAUAGUAGUUGGCUAAUUAGUAACAGUGGAGUCUUGCUAUGUUGCUUAGGCUGGUCUCUAACUCCUAGACUUAAGCAACCCAUCUUGCCUCCACCUUUGAAAGUACGGGGGUUACAGGCGUGAGACACCGCACCUGGCCCCUGUUGGGAUUUACCCCUCCUGUUAGGGGCCAUCAAACCUCUCUUAGUUGGUCAUCCCUUAAAGCUCCGUCAAACUUUUUUUUUUUUUUUUUUUGAGAU